rnacentral:rRNA from 1 species
AUUGAACGCUGGCGGCAGGCUUAACACAUGCAAGUCGAGCGGUAACAGAGAGAAGCUUGCUUCUCUGCUGACGAGCGGCGGACGGGUGAGUAAUGCCUAGGAAUCUGCCUAGUAGUGGGGGAUAACUUGCCGAGAGGUAAGCUAAUACCGCAUACGUCCUACGGGAGAAAGGAGGGGACCUUCGGGCCUUUCGCUAUUAGAUGAGCCUAGGUCGGAUUAGUUAGUUGGUGAGGUAAUGGCUCACCAAGACCGCGAUCCGUAACUGGUCUGAGAGGAUGAUCAGUCACACUGGAACUGAGACACGGUCCAGACUCCUACGGGAGGCAGCAGUGGGGAAUAUUGGACAAUGGGGGGAACCCUGAUCCAGCCAUGCCGCGUGUGUGAAGAAGGUCUUGGGAUUGUAAAGCACUUUAAGUUGGGAGGAAGAGCAGUUAACUAAUAUUUGACUGUUUUGACGUUACCGACAGAAUAAGCACCGGCUAACUUCGUGCCAGCCGCCGCGGUAA